GAUCAUGGCUCAGGACGAACGCUGGCGGCGUGCCUAACACAUGCAAGUCGAACGAAGCUUGACGAAUGAUUUCUUCGGAAUGAAAUCUGAUAUGACUGAGUGGCGGACGGGUGAGUAACGCGUGAGCAACCUGCCCUUGGAACGGGAUAGUGUCUGGAAACGGACAGUAAUACCGUAUAACGUAUUUUUACCGCAUGAUAGAAAUACCAAAACUGAGGUGCCGAAGGAUGGGCUCGCGU
rnacentral:rRNA from 1 species